UACGUAGGGAGCGAGCGUUAUCCGGAUUUAUUGGGUUUAAAGGGUGCGUAGGCGGCUUUUUAAGUCAGCGGUGAAAUUUUGCAGCUUAACUGUAACAGUGCCGUUGAUACUGGGGAGCUAGGAUUUGGUUGCUGUGGGUGGAAUGUGUGGUGUAGCGGUGAAAUGCUUAGAGAUCACACAGAAUAUCGAUUGCGAAGGCAGCUCACAAAGCCAAGAUUGACGCUGAGGCACGAAAGUGUGGGGAUCAAACAGGAUUAGA
rnacentral:rRNA from 1 species